AUGUGAUGAUGCACAAUGGUAGAAUGUGAUGAUGCACAAUGUUAGAAUGUGAUGAUGCACAGGGUGAAUGUCAUGGCUGAAGGCUCCAUUGUGGUCACGUCGCCUCCUGUAGUGGAUAUCAGGAGUAUUUUAGAGCCAGAUUCCUUUCAAGAGCAGCAGUUUGUCUCCGAGCUGCAGCAGUAAUGGACCGACAGCAACGGACCGAGCUCGCCCAGCUGACUGCUGCUGGCUUCACGUCAGACGAUCAUCACGUCAGACGCUUUCUACUCCAUCAGGCUCGACUGCCAAUCCGGAACAAAAACAGUUGGAUGUGCCAAUUAAAGCUGCCGUUUCCAGUCCUCCUGUCUAGUCAAAGAUGUGUUCUACCUCAAAGAGAAACCUGAUUUAUUCAUUUAUUCACAUUUCAGCGUUAACACCUGGAACCAGAGUGAACGGAUUAAAAAAACAUCCUAAACUUCA